rnacentral:rRNA from 1 species
AUUGAACGCUGGCGGAAUGCCUUACACAUGCAAGUCGAACGGUAACAGGUCUUCGGAUGCUGACGAGUGGCGAACGGGUGAGUAAUACAUCGGAACGUGCCCGAGAGUGGGGGAUAACGAGGCGAAAGCUUUGCUAAUACCGCAUAAGAUCUCAGGAUGAAAGCAGGGGACCGCAAGGCCUUGCCCCCAAGGAGCGGCCGAUGGCAGAUUAGGUAGUUGGUGGAUAAAAGCUUACCAAGCCGACGAUCUGUAGCUGGGCUGAGAGGACGACCCGCCACACUGGGACUGAGAAACGGCCCAGACUCCUACGGGAGGCAGCAGUGGGGAAUUUUGGACAAUGGGCGCAAGCCUGAUCCAGCCAUGCCGCGUGCAGGAUGAAGGCCUUCGGGUUGUAAACUGCUUUUGUACGGAACGAAAAGACUCUGGUUAAUACCUGGGGUCCAUGACGGUACCGUAAGAAUAAGCACCGGCUAACUACGUGCCAGCCGCCGCCGUAA